UACAGAGGUCUCAAGCGUUGUUCGGAUUCAUUGGGCGUAAAGGGUGCGUAGGCGGCGCGGUAAGUCGGGUGUGAAAUCUCGGGGCUUAACUCCGAAACUGCAUUCGAUACUGCCGUGCUUGAGGACUGGAGAGGAGACUGGAAUUUACGGUGUAGCGGUGAAAUGCGUAGAUAUCGUAAGGAGGACCAGUGGCGAAGGCAGGUCUCUGGACAGUUCCUGACGCUGAGGCACGAAGGUCAGGGGAGCAAACGGG
rnacentral:rRNA from 1 species